AGCUUUUUGAAUCCGUGCUGAGAUUUCGUCAGACACCAACCCAUUAAGGCUGGUCAGACUUUCAAGAUAAGUGAAGUU
rfam:Schistosoma rodhaini strain Burundi genome assembly, scaffold: SROB_scaffold0008354